AGCUGGGCCCAGCCUCUGCUUCAGGCAAAGGUGCGGAGAUGCUGGCUGAAGGUGGCAGUUAGAGCCGUGUGGUGAGGCUGACUAACCCUGGACUUCCUCGGUCCUGGGACAGUCAGGUUGGUGGCAUGGGACCUGGCACGGGGAUGGGAGCUUAGACAGCCCUCUCGACGUGACCUCAUUUGAUGCUACAACUGGGCCACAGGAUGAUUAUGCUAUUGUUUUAGAACGCCGUGUUGUCAUUUUCUGAUUACAGAAGCCAUCAUGGUCGAGGGGUGGUGGUGUUAGCUGCGCUCAGGGGUGAGAAUCCGUCAGGCUCAGCAGCAACAACACCAAGGAGUAUUUUGGCCCUGGGGACACAGCCGGGGCCCCGGGAAAAGAAGCCUGGUCAGGACCCUCUGCUCCACCCAAAAGUCGGCCCCCAGUCCUCUGCACGACCUGCUGAUGUGUCCUCACACGCCAUUUUACAGGCCAGAAAGCUGAGGCUGGGGAGGGGUGAAGGUCACUUGGCCAAGGUCACACAUGACCUAGAGGCUGACUGUGAGUUGGAACCUGGUGUUGUCUGACUACAGAAGCCCUGCCCCCCCCGCUCAUCUCACUGCCUCACAGGAUGCAGGCCACCAGAUCCGGACAGAGAGCUCCUCAGCUAAUUUCCUGGUCUAGAGGCAUUCCCACCGCCAACCCGGGUGGUGAUUAACCACCUCCUUGGUGGUCAAGGAGAAGCGAGCGUCACCAGGACUCCCCCCUGUGCUGAGCCCUGAGGACCACAGCAUGAGGGCCGCCCUCAUCAGCCCUCCCUGAAGGACCAGUGGAGGGUGAUGGGUGAACCCUUCACUACCUAAACUGUGAAACCGAAGGCUGAGCAGAGGGUGGUUCUCCUCUUCUGAGACGAAACCUCUGUUCUGUUCACCCCAACCAGCAACUCUGUGGGGUGCUCUGUGCAGAUCGCCAGCGUGGUCACUGCCACCUGGAUUCAGUGCACACCCCUACUCUCGUGGCCCACAGCUGCUGCCACCAAAAUGUGGACUUCCAGAUCAGGGCUGUUGGGUGGCAUUCCAUGAUGUGUCCCUCUUACAGGUUAAAAAAAACUUCGGGAACACGGAGACUUCACACACCUAUAUGAAGUAUUUAAGACACAAACACACCCAGAUGGGGCUGCAGUUACAGCACUAGAGAUGCUGAUCCGAGCUGUCCCCCACCAACCCCUGGAAGGAUGGCCGGCUCCCAUCACCCCACCAGUCAAAGGAAUUGGGUCUUGGAUGGUCAGUGACCUACAGCCUGGUGUGAAAUGUGGGCUGAGCUAAUCAGAUCGUCUCCUUCAGGUGUUUGGACUCAGAACAGAGGAGGUAAGUUGCCCAUGGAAAAGGGUAGAAGGUGUCACUGGAGGAGGGUAGGAAAGGUGUCCAUGGAGGAGGGUAGGGAAGGUGUCCAUGGAGGAGGGUAGGGGAGGUGUCACUGGAGGAGGGGAGGGAAGGUGUCCAUGGAGGAGGGUAGGGGAGGUGUCACUGGAGGGUAGGGAAGGUGUCCAUGGAGGAGGGUAGGGGAGGUAUCACUGGAGGAGGGUAAGGAAGGUGCCAUUGGUGGAGGGUAGGGAAGGUACUCAUGGGAGGGUCCCAGGCCUCCUGGUGGGUGCACAGGGUACACAAGGGUCUGUUCACGGAAGCCACUCUGUCUCAAGGCCAGAGAAGAGCCACCACACAAGAGAGAGCCUUUGGUUCCAAGGGGAGUGUCUUCAUGGAGUGGUGCCUGUGGGCCGGUUGUCGGAACCUGAGCUGGCCAUGCUAGCUCCCUGUGCAGUGCCCCAUUGUGUCUCCACAGGAGUCCCUUUGUGUCCAGUAUCCUGGAUACUUUGGGACACUGCUGAGCCCAUGGCAAUGUUCCCAAGCCCCAGGGUUGGGAUACCAAGUCACCUGAAGGGAAGUGAUACACAGAUGCACACUGUCUGCAUCCUUGACCUGUCCCUGGAGCCUCAGGAUGGGCUCUGGAGGCUACCCCGGCUCUGGGAUGAGGAUUCCUGAGCAGGCAAUUUAGGGGCUGAGGAGGGAGGAGGUGACCAAGCCAGGAAGCCUAUCAUGGAUUGAAUUGUGUCCACCAAAAAUGUCAACUUGGCUAGGCCAUGAUUCCCAGCAUUGUGUGGUUGUUCAACAUUCUGUGAUUUUCCUGUGUGCUGUAAACCCUACCGAUAUGACGUUAACGAGAUGGGUUAGCAGCAGUUAUGCUGAUGAGAUCUACACGUGUCUUAAGCCAAUCUCUUUCGAGACAUGAGAAAGAAAGAUGAGCGGAGAGACAGGGGACUUUAUACCCCCAAGAAAAAGCAGUGCCGGGAGAAGAGCACAUCCUUUGGACCAGGAGUUCUCACAUGGAGAAUCUCCUAAAUCCAGGGCAAGGCUGAUGACAAGGACCUUCCUCCAGAACUGACAGAGAAAGCAUUCCCCUGGAGCUGACGCUCUGAUUUUGGACUUGUAGCCUACUAUACCGUGAGAGAAUAAAUUUCUCUUUGUUACAGCCAUCCACUUGUGGGACUUCUGUUCCAGCAGCACUAGGUGACUAAGACAAAGCCACUGGAGGUGAUUUCAGGCCAAGCCCUGAGUAAGAGCGGCAGCCUGACCCACAGUUGUUGUCUCGGGAUGAGUUGGCUGCGAUUUGUUCAGAAUUGGUGUUACUUCAUUCUUAAAUGUUUGGGAGAAUUUACCAGCAAAGCUACCUGGGCCUAGAGUUUUCUUUGUGAGAAAGUCUUAAACUCCAAAUUCAAUUUUUUAAUAGUUGUAGUACUACAAUUCAGGUUAGUUAUUCCUUUUUGAGUCAGCUUUGGUAGUUUGUGUCUUAAAAGAAGUUUUCCAUUUCAUGUUCCUUUUCUGGCAUAAGUCGUUGGUGAUAUUCCUGUACCAUCCUUUUAAUACCUGUAGAAUCUGGUAGUGAUGGCACCUCUCUCACUCCCGGUAGUGAUGACUCGGCAUUGUUCCUUAUUCCCCACCCCCCAACCCCCCAUCAAUCUGGCUGGAGGCUUAUCUACUUUAUUGAUCUCAAAGAACCAAUUUUCAGUUAAUGGAUUUUUCUCUAGUUUUUCUGUUUUCUUUUUGAUUGAUUUAUGUCCUUAUCUUUCUUAUUUCUUCUUCUUGCUUUGGGUUUAAUUUGCUUUUCUCUUUGUAAUUUCUUAAGGUCUCAGUAUCUGGUCCACUUAGCAGUUUUAUUUGUGUCAAUUAGGAGUCUAGUUUACGCAGCAGUCUCUUGGAGUUGAAUCAUGUGUGACUCCUUGCCUCCAGGAUGAUCAGCUCUGGCCCCCAGACUAGAACAAGCUUCUGCCCUGGCAAUGGAAAGGAUUAGAUUCAUGGACCGCUAUAACAGCCCCGAAGCCUGGCGCUCUGUGAGGCCUGGCCCGUGAAGUCAAAAACCCCUCUCACUUCCUCGCCAUUAAUAGAACAAUUGUUAACGUAGUCAAAAGACGAGCCUUAUCCCAUUGUACCAAGAGCUAGGAAACUUUUAAAACUGGCAUCCUUAUUCAAUUAGGCUCAUAAAACAUCUGAGUGGCUGCUGUAAGUGCCUGGUCCUGUGUCAGGCACCAGGCACACAGAGAUGAACGAGCAUCUGUUACGUAAAUCUUGUAAUUUAUGGUCUGUCAUCCUACAGUUGCUCCACAGGCCAGUUUAUUUUCAGAUGAUGGAAUUUAGGCUCAUUAGCCGUACAAUUAUGGAGCUGAGACGAACUCUGGAGGCCAUUCAAUCCAACUCCCUCAUUUUAGAGAGGAGGAAGCUGAGGCUCAGAGAAGUCAGGGCUGUGUGCUGAGGUCACACAAGAUAUAAAUGGCAGUGCCAGCUGAAACCCAGAUCCAGCUUGUCAGAAUGGUCUCAGGUGCCAGGGGACACAAGCUGCACAAACACAUUGACAGGAAUCUGCUUUUAAUGUAAACCACUACAGACACACGCUAUACCUUCAGUGGACGGAAUUCCUGCUGGGAAGGAUGGCAGGUGCACUGCAGAUAGCAAGAGCUCAGUAAGAUGUUGUAUUGAAUGAAGGAAGCUAGUUGAUGAGGCUGUUUAUCUAUGUAUGCAACCUAAAGCCAUUUUGUCACAUAUUCUGCCAGUUAAAAAAAAGGCCCAUAAGAUCAGACCCUUAACAAAAUUCUUCCGAAAGAUUGUAAUAGAAAAAAAUACUGUGUGCCAUAUUUUCUGAAUUUGUCGUAGCUUAAAAAAUUUUAGCAUUUUACUUUUCCCAGAUGUAAUGGACUGAAUUGUGCCCCUCAAGGUAUGUGUUACACCUAGGCCAAUCGGUGUAACAAAGCUUAUUAAGAAAAUGUUCUGCAUACCACUUUGGCGAGUGGCGUCGGAGGUCUUAAAAGCUAGGGAGUGGCCAUCUAAGAUGCAUCAAUUGGUCCCAAGCCACCUGGAGCAAAAGAGAAUGAAGGACAGCAAAGACACAACGAAAAUAAGGGCCCAAGAGACAGAAAGGACCACAUAAACCAGAGACUCUAUCAGCCUGAGACUGGAAGACCUAGACUGGGUACCACCAAUGACUGCCCUGACAGCGAACACAACAGAGAGUCCCUGCUGGAGCAUGGCCAAAAGCGGGGUGCAGAACUCAAAUUCUAGUAAAAAGACCAGACUUGUUUGUCUGACUGAGACUGGAGGGCCCCUAAAGGACAUGGUCCCUGGACCCUGUUAGCCCAGAACUAAAACCAUUCCUGAAGCCAACUCUUGAGACAAAGAUCAGAUUGGAGCCUAAGACAUAACAUGAUGCUGGUGAAAAGUGUGCUUCUUGGCUCAAGUAGAUACAUGAGACUAAAUGGGCAGCUCCUGUUUGGAGGCGAGAUGAGAAGGCAGAAGGGGACAGGAGCUUAGGUUGAAUGGACACGGGAAAUACAGGGUGGAGAGAAGGAGUGUGCUGUCACAUGGUAGGGAGAGCAACUAGGGUCACAUAACAAUGUGUGUAUAAGUUUUUGUAUGAGAAACUGACUUGAACUGUAAACUUUCACUUAAAGCACAAUUAAAAAAAUAAAAGAUGUGUGUUGCAAGCCCUAACUCCUUAAGCAUUUGGCUGCUAACCAAAAAGUCAGCAGCUUGAAUCCACGAGGCACUCCUUGGAAACAUUAUGGGACAGUCACUAGGAGUUAGAAUCGACUCGACAGCAACAGGUUUUGUUUUUUUUAUACCUGUGGAAAGGAGCCCUGGUGGCGCAGUGGUUUAAGUGCU